CGCUUGGCAACUCGGGAACCUCGGUCAUUUUAGGACGGGAGAUACGGGAGGCUAUUGGGACAGCUCCCGCUUUGGGGCGGCACAGCGCACAAGGUCAUCAUGUCCAGUUUUACUGAUGGCAUCUAACAGGUAUGUGAGGAAUAGCGGCGAAACUGGAUGAGUGUAGCUGAAUAAGUAGACGAGAAUGAAAUUCAGUGCUUAUGGCCUGAGACCACCCGGCAAACGGUCCUUGA